ensembl:lncRNA
CUGGUCUCAUAGCAGGGGGGAAGGGAAAUUUGCAGGGCUGUUCUCAGAGCAGUGGCUCGAGAGGUAUACAUAAGAUUGGAGGGGAAAUACCAAGUCACAGCCUGAAUCAACAGCUGAACACCAGCUGCUGGCUCUGGGCCCAACAUGUCCUACAAUUCUCUGCAUCUUAUUUCUGAUUCCUGGGUAUGCCCUCAAUUGGCAUACCCUGGUGAGACUUUCUCUGGUGUGUCAGAAGUUAUACAGGGCCUGUGAGUAUGAGCACCCUUUGCAAGAGGGCCUGUGCACAGCCUGGUGCUGCUUUCCCUGCCACAGAACCAUACUCUGGCUGUUUAGGCAACACAUCAACUCCCAGGAUGGUUGUCUUUUAACUCUGAAACUGAGAGAAAUUCUCUUUGUGCUCUGCACGUUCAUUUGAGUGCUUCCUAUAAUUACUAUCAGCUUCGCAGUCACGAUCUUGAUGCCAAACAUAAAAUGAAUAAAUAAAACAACCUCUGCUUUUGUCUAUCUGGACUGAUUUGGACGGUAGUAAUGAUGUAAGGGAGGACAAGUGUGCCAUCCAGGUGCUUUAAAUAUUAAUUAGUUUUUUAAAAUAAACCAUGUUGUACCAGUUCCUAAAAAGUCACAAUGCUCUGUGGUGGUAUUCCCGGUAUAACAAAUCACUGCUUAUCAUUGCAUUCUUAUAUUGCUGGAUUCUCCCAGGGACUGAAAUUGAUGUUCCAAGCUUUUAUUUGGAAGUUAAUGAUUUAGAGUUGUUCAAUAUUUGCAUCACUACUUUAGAUAUCUUCUACAUAGCUCUCUUCUGAUCCUUCAUGAUCUCCUCAUGAGAAACAGAACAAUAUAAAAAUAUUUUAAAAGAUGUCAUGAAGUUAGUGAACUUAUUUUAGGUCCACAGACUUCUGAUAUAUAUAUUAGACAAAUUAAUAUGAUAAUGUUCCAGAAAAAUGCAGUAGCAACAGCUGAAAAAUUUAAGUGAUAUUAAAAAAAAUACUGAAUAUGAUAUUUUCAAUAUUUCUAUAGUCAGAGUUAGUAUCUUUGUCAUUAUCCAUUUGUGGAUUUGUACUGUAGUCAAGUAAUAAUGCAAAUAAGGCAUAAUGAAGGAAGCUGUAAAUAUCAUGAAAAGUACUAAGGUUUCUGCUGGGUGUGUAUGAAAUAACGUAAAUCUGUUUGCUUGACUUCUGUACUCCUAUUGGCAGUAAUGGUUUUUAAUAGUGUAAGAACUGGAACAUGCCCUUUGGAGCUGGACAAACAAAGGCUGUUUUUACAUGGCUAAUGCAUGUGUGCUUUAUAUCAUCUGAGACAAUCUGCCAUAACAAAGGACAAAACACGAUGUUCUAUUUUUUUAUAAAUAAACCUUUCUUUAAGAUAAAAUUUGCCAAUUGCAGAAAUACAGACGUUCAUAAUUUAUAAACAAUAAACACUCCUUUUGGCGGCCUGCCAUGCAGUUCCUUUUCUAAACUGUGAAUGAGAAAUUAUGUGAGAGUUACAAAUGGUACAGCUAACAGACCUGGCAGAGUUUGAAGCAAUAUUGGUGGCAACCCAAACGCAUGUUAGAUGCCGUAAGGAUUGAAUAGUUCAGAUAUAUAAAACAAGUACCUGGAGCUGCCUUUAUCAAUGAAAUGUAAAAUAAAAUAUAAUCUUACAGCUGUGUGGUAAAAGCAGUACAUCAUCUGAGCCUUUUUGUCAUUCCUGUUUUUGAUGCAAAGUGAGGAUGCAGAUAAACAAUUAGUUACCUGCACAUCUGGAUUUCAGAUGAUUGAAACUUAUUAAAGUUUUAUGUUU